rnacentral:rRNA from 1 species
AAUAGAUACCCGGGUAGUCCACGCCGUAAACGGUGGGCACUAGGUGUGGGCAACAUUCCACGUUGUCCGUGCCGCAGCUAACGCAUUAAGUGCCCCGCCUGGGGAGUACGGCCGCAAGGCUAAAAACUCAAAGGAAUUGACGGGGGCCCGCACAAGCGGCGGAGCAUGUGGCUUAAUUCGACGCAACGCGAAGAACCUUACCAAGGCUUGACAUACACCGGAAACGGCCAGAGAUGGUCGCCCCCUUGUGGUCGGUGUACAGGUGGUGCAUGGCUGUCGUCAGCUCGUGUCGUGAGAUGUUGGGUUAAGUCCCGCAACGAGCGCAACCCUUGUCCCGUGUUGCCAGCAGGCCCUUGUGGUGCUGGGGACUCACGGGAGACCGCCGGGGUUCAACUCGGAGGAAGGUGGGGACGACGUCAAGUCAUCAUGCCCCUUAUGUCUUGGGCUGCACACGUGCUACAAUGGCCGGUACAAUGAGCUGCGAUACCGUGAGGUGGAGCGAAUCUCAAAAAGCCGGUCUCAGUUCGGAUUGGGGUCUGCUAACCG